UACGGGGGGAGCAAGCGUUGUUCGGAUUUACUGGGCGUAAAGGGCGCGUAGGCGGUCGUGACAAGUCACUUGUGAAAUCUCCGGGCUUAACUCGGAACGGUCAAGUGAUACUGUCGGACUAGAGUACAGAAGGGGCAACUGGAAUUCUCGGUGUAGCGGUGAAAUGCGUAGAUAUCGAGAGGAACACCUGCGGCGAAGGCGGGUUGCUGGGCUGAUACUGACGCUGAGGCGCGAAAGUGUGGGGAUCAAACAGG
rnacentral:rRNA from 1 species